GACGUAGGGGCGAGCGUUGUCCGGAUUUAUUGGGCGUAAAGCGUGCGUAGGCGGCUGCGCAAGUCGGGUGUGAAACCCCGGGGCUCAACCCCGGAACUGCAUCCGAUACUGCGUGGCUAGAGGUAGGUAGGGGAGAUCGGAAUUCCUGGUGUAGCGGUGAAAUGCGCAGAUAUCAGGAGGAACACCGGUGGCGAAGGCGGAUCUCUGGGCCUUACCUGACGCUCAGGCACGAAAGCUAGGGGAGCGAACAGG
rnacentral:rRNA from 1 species